UACGAGAGCCCCAAGUGUUAUCCGGAAUUAUUGGGCGUAAAGGGUGCGUAGGUGGCUGUAUUAGUCUUUCGUUAAAUCCUGGGGCUUAACCCCAGAACCGCGAAGGAAACGGUACGGCUAGAGGUUGUGUUGGGUGUAUGGAACUCAUGGAGUAGGGGUGAAAUCCGUUGAUAUCAUGGGGAACACCAAAAGCGAAGGCAGUACACUGGCACAAAUCUGACACUGAGGCACGAAACCCUGGGUAGCGAAUGGG
rnacentral:rRNA from 1 species